UACGGAGGGUGCAAGCGUUAUCCGGAUUCACUGGGUUUAAAGGGUGCGUAGGUGGGUUUGUAAGUCAGUGGUGAAAUCUCCAAGCUUAACUUGGAAACUGCCGUUGAUACUAUAAAUCUUGAAUAUCGUGGAGGUAAGCGGAAUAUGUCAUGUAGCGGUGAAAUGCUUAGAUAUGACAUAGAACACCAAUUGCGUAGGCAGCUUACUACACGAUCAUUGACGCUGAGGCACGAAAGCGUGGGGAGCAAACAGG
rnacentral:rRNA from 1 species